rnacentral:misc_RNA from 1 species
GACGGAGGGCGCAAGCGUUGUUCGGAAUUACUGGGCGUAAAGCGCGGGCAGGUGGCCUUUUAAGUCCUUUGUGAAAUCCCGGGGCUCAACUCCGGAUGUGCAGAGGAUGCUGGAUGGCUAGAGAUUGGUAGAGGCAAGCGGAAUUCCCGGUGUAGCGGUGGAAUGCGUAGAUAUCAGGAAGAACACCGGUGGCGAAGGCGGCUCGCUGGGCCAUUUCUGACGCUCAUCCGCGAAAGCGUGGGGAGCAAACAGG